GGCGCAACUUAUUUUGAAUUUUGGGUCCCUAAUGCUCUUCAACUUUGUACUUGUUUAGCUUUAUAACUAUUUUGAUUUGAGCGUCACUGAUGAGUCUUAUGUAGACGAGAUUCGCGUCUGGCGUAUGAAAUUAUAUAAUCCUGGUACCUUUGAUAACUAUUUAUUGUGUGAAAAAUCAUGCGCAAUCAAUUCAUUGAAUAGACAGACCAUGGAAGUAUUAUUUUUAUCAUUUUACUUCCAUGGACAAACCAAAGCAAUAACAUAAUACAAGGAAGCAAUACAAGAUGUGGCCAAUGCUCUUAGUCUUAUCAUCCAAUCCCAAUAUACUUCUGCCUGUCAUUUUAACACAAUUAAACAGUCAUCGAAUGAUUCACAUUACAUCAUAUAUUUGAACUCAACUUGUUAUUGAUCUAUGGAACAAUAUAUGCAGACAUAAUAUACAUGUUGCGCUAGACACUGACUUACACAUAUUUGAAUAUACAUUUUAACUUUUAAUCAAUUAUUGAAAGGAAGGACUAGUGGAAUCAACUCCUUUAUAACUCACCUGACCUGAAAGGUCAAGUCAGCUUUUCUUAUCACUUGGCGUCCAUCGUCUGUUUUGGUCCGUUCACUUACAAAAAUCUUUCUCUGAAACUACUGGGCUAAAUUUAACCAAACUUGGCCACAAUCAUCAUUGGGGUAUCUAAUUUAAAAAUUGUGUCUGAUGACCCCUCUUGCCAAUCAAUAUGGCAACCAUGGCUAAAAAUAGAAUAAAGGGAGUAAAUGCAGUUUAUGGCUUGUAUCUCUGAAACUUAAGCAUUUAGAGUUUAUUUGACAUGGGGGUAAAAAAAAAAUUUAGGUUAAGAUCUAUCUGCCCUGAAAUUUUCAGACGAAUCCGACAACCUGUUGUUGGUUUUUUUUAGAUAAAAUACACAAUUUACUGAUCGGCAAGAAGGAAAGGAGUAGAUCCGGUAAGAGCUGAUUUUAGCCUCAAAUUUCAGAUUCAUCAUUUGAAAGAUUUUGGACACUUUUUAAACACUUAAGUGUCUAUUUCAAUUGAUUUGAUUAGUUUUUUUAACAG
rnacentral:lncRNA from 1 species